rnacentral:rRNA from 1 species
GACGAACGCUGGCGGCGUGCCUAAUACAUGCAAGUCGAGCGAAGUUUUUCUGGUGCUUGCACUAGAAAAACUUAGCGGCGAACGGGUGAGUAACACGUAAAGAACCUGCCUCAUAGACUGGGACAACUAUUGGAAACGAUAGCUAAUACCGGAUAACAGCAUUAACUGCAUGGUUGAUGUUUAAAAGUUGGUUUUGCUAACACUAUGAGAUGGCUUUGCGGUGCAUUAGCUAGUUGGUGGGGUAAAGGCCUACCAAGGCGACGAUGCAUAGCCGACCUGAGAGGGUGAUCGGCCACACUGGGACUGAGACACGGCCCAGACUCCUACGGGAGGCAGCAGUAGGGAAUCUUCCGCAAUGGGCGAAAGCCUGACGGAGCAACGCCGCGUGAGUGAAGAAGGAUUUCGGUUCGUAAAGCUCUGUUGUUAGGGAAGAAUGAUUGUGUAGUAACUAUACACAG